UACGUAGGGUGCAAGCGUUAAUCGGAAUUACUGGGCGUAAAGCGUGCGCAGGCGGUUGUGCAAGACAGAUGUGAAAUCCCCGGGCUCAACCUGGGAAUGGCGAUGAAGACUGCAAGGCUAGAAUCUGGCAGAGGGGGGUAGAAUUCCACGUGUAGCAGUGAAAUGCGUAGAGAUGUGGAGGAACACCGAUGGCGAAGGCAGCCCCCUGGGUCAAGAUUGACGCUCAUGCACGAAAGCGUGGGGAGCAAACAGG
rnacentral:rRNA from 1 species